rnacentral:rRNA from 1 species
AUACGAAGGGGGCUAGCGUUGCUCGGGAAUGACUGGGCGUAAAGGGCGUGUAGGCGGUUUACACAGUCAGAUGUGAAAUCCCCGGGCUUAACCUGGGAGCUGCAUUUGAUACGUGUAGACUAGAGGUGUGAGAGAGGGUUGUGGAAUUCCCAGUGUAGAGGUGAAAUUCGUAGAUAUUGGGAAGAACACCGGUGGCGAAGGCGGCAACCUGGCUCAUGACUGACGCUGAGGCGCGAAAGCGUGGGGAGC